rnacentral:lncRNA from 1 species
CCGAGUAAACCGUUCAACCAAGCAAACUUGAAAGCAUCUGAGAGGUACAGAGUGGUAUUCAAAACAUUCUGCCUUAAUAGCUUAGUGCAGCAUCUAGAAUGCAUGUUUUAAUAUGUUUCCCCCUUUUGUACACUCUUUGCCACAAAAUUUUAUGGAGAGAAAACCAACUUUCUCUGUUCAGUCUGGUAACCAAGGACCCAAUAAAAGAAAAAUAAUGAAACUUACACUACAUAUGACUGAUGGUACACUGUCCAGAGAAAAUCUUAACUGGUAAGAUAAAAACUUGGAUCCUUUUCUGCCUGUAAAGUGAAGCUAAGCAGGACAGAAUGCAAUGGAAAAAAUCUAACAUUCAAAUUGCAGAUUGCAUGAUUUUACAUAUCUUUAUUAAAUGAUCAUUUCUUUGAAUUAAUGUUUAAGGCCUCUUCUAAGAAUCCUUUUCCUAGUACAAUUUAUUGUGAUUAACUGGGAUUGAGUGCACUAAUUUUCAAAUGUUUGUCCUAUUUAUAGUAGGUUUUCCUAUCCUUCGAGUGAUACAAAUUCCAAAUUGUGACAUUUUGGUCUCUGUUGGACACACCAGCCAUACUCAUACAAAUAGGUCUCCUCAUUGGAAUUCAGAUGACUGUAAAAAAUACAGCUCCCUCUUAAAUUCUUAAAAUACAACAUUUUAUAACUAGCCCCUGCUGUGCAGGUUUUCUGAUAAAAAUGUCAUGUCUAGGUUCUGAAGAAAUUUUUAUCACACUUGUACACACAAGUGUACUGGAC